rnacentral:lncRNA from 1 species
AUGGAGUUUCUACUGAAAAGGAGAAGUAUCAAAUAUCUAGUCUACAACACUCCUGAGUGCAGCUGGAACCAGAUGAAAAUGCAAUUGAAAAAUAUUAACAAAAUAAAUAAAAAACACUAUACAGCACUGGUUAACAAGAACUUCAGUUUUGGCGGGGGUUUUGGAUACCACUUUUAUCAUUUAGUAAAUUCUGAUUUUCAAGGAAUUAAAUACUACAAUUUUUUUGGUGCCUCUUUCACUAAGGUAUUAAUUCUCUUCAUAAUUUUCUUGCAUGGUUCUAAUUUCUUUUCCCCAUAUUCUUCUUAUUUGUUUUAUUUUUUAUGUUUGCAUUUUUUAAAUCUCUUCCUUUUGUUGUUUUAAGAAUUCUUGUUGGGCUUGUGAGUAAUCUACAUUUUUCUUUGAGGCUUUGCUUCUAAAUGUUUUCAAGUUCUUCUGAAUUUGUGUUUUGGCUUUCCCUAUCACCCCAGUAGCUAUUUGUGGUCAAGUUCUAUUGUUUAUUCAUCUUUCUGGUCUGCUUCUCGUCUUUAGACUUUCUGUUAUGGAACGUGUGCUGGAGAUUGUUAAGAUAGCAAUGAAUUUUUAUAUGUUCUCAAAGACUGAAAUAAUGAUAGUUUUCUUCAUUACUCUUGGAAACUGAAAGUCAGCAGGAAAGUUUACUUUAUUACACAAGUUGACAGGUUUCCUGUCAUUAAGUUUUGAAAUAAUUUUUAACUUCAUAAAAUCAAAAUGAUUUUAGAAAUGAAAAGGGAAAUCACUAGAACAACAUCAUAAGAACAACUGGUUUUAUGAUUUGGCUUUCAUUGUAGAUAGGUCUAGAUGUAUACAUGUAUAUUAAAUGAGCUAAAAAUUGAAAUGUUGGGGUCAAAAUUGGGGUGUGAUGUUUAUGUAGAAAUGCACUAAAGCCUCAUAAGAAAAAAUUUAUCUUUAGAAAUGGCAACUAAAAUAUUAUGAUUUGACUCAUUUUCCUACACAUAAAAACAAUUGAGUCAUUUGGUUCUCAUGGUUUCAGUAAGUAUGCAUAAUCUUAAAGUUUGGUAGUAUAUACCUAUAUGAAUGAUGAUACUUCAUUUCUGAAGAUUAUUAAAACUUCAUAUAGGGUAAUAUUAAAGCAUUUAUCAUUGAUGCUAAAAAAAUUUCUUAUCACACUAUCUGAUGCCUGAUAUUGAUAAAAAUAAUUUCAGGUAAAAGAUGCCAAGUUUCAAGCAAGCAAUACUAAAUUAAUUAUAAAACUUAUUAAAUGGAUAUCUUGAGAUGACUUUAAAUGUAUUCAAUACUAAAACAUAAAAUUAUAGGCUUUUUAUUUAUAGCUAGUUCUUAUCAGAUUUGUAUGAAUAUAUGUAAUAAAUAUCUGUACAUACAUAUAUACA